AUUGGAUUUCUGCUCUUCUACCUUCAGUCUGUAUAUAUUUACUAUUGAUUCAGCUAUUUCACCUACCUUGGGUCACUGCAAAGCAGACUGAGCAGCUGGGGCACGUGACACUGGGAGAAGAUAUUUGAUGCAACACUGCAAAAGAUUGGUUUGGUGCAGCCUGUCUGAACUGAAAUGUCUUACUGUGAGCUAUGGGGAGUUUUCUACUGUUCGUUGCUUUGUGAUUGCUGCUGGCUGUUGUUUUGCCUGUCCUUCACUCUUCUGUGUUACUGGAAGUCAAGCUGGAUAUGUUGACAUCAAAUCAUUUUCCUGCCUUCAGUUCCAGAGGUCUCUAGAUGAGACAGAAGCCAGCAUACGCAGCUUGGCAGAUGAAGAAUCAGUGCAGUCAACACAUGCCGUGAAGAUAUAAAUAAAGUUGAAAAAAAUCUGUGAAGUGUGGAUGAAGGAGGAAAAACAACAGAUCCAGACUCCCCGGUACCAUUCAGUGCUGGCAGAUGCCAAACAUAACAAAUAAGUUUUAUAACAAGCUUUAAGCACUAAUCACCUUCUUCAAGAAAACUGUGAGGUAAGAAAAAACGAGUGUUGAAUUCUGUGCUGUCUCGCUAAGCACUUUUGAAAAAUCCAGAAAACGUGGGUAUCUCAAAUACAGUGAGGGAUCAUAUAUGCAAGAGCAAGCAUUAAACCAGAGUCUAAAACUGAGCAGAAGGGGUUAGGCUAUGGGAGCUGCAUAGAUCCAGAGGUAACAGAUCCCAUCCAGCAAUCUAGAAGAAAGAAGGUACGCCCACCUUCUCCCCUUCCUAAGACCGUAUAUACCCAGACCAUUCUUGAAAGACAUUCUCACGGCUAAAGUGUCUCAUGUAAGAGAUGAUCCCCAGAGAGUAUUCAGCUCUGCAAGCAUUAGAAAGUUUUCUUAUUGUCUACCCCAAAUCUUACAAACUAAGCCUUUUACUUCUUGCCCUAUACAUGGAGAAAUGAAGAAUGAUUGACUAUCACCCUCGUUACAACUUUUUACGUCUUAAGAAACUGGUACGAUGUCCCCCCUUGUUUUCUCAGCUUUUCCUCACAGAUCUUAUUUUUCAUGUUGCUCUCCUUUUGAAGUCUUUUUUGUUUGUCAACAUCUUCUUUACAGUGUGCUGCAGACGUGGUGUUCUUGAUCUGAGGCACUAGUGUUGGGCUGAAUUAAAAUAAAAAACAAAAAACUCUCUUAUAUCUUAUAUAA
rnacentral:lncRNA from 1 species